rnacentral:pre_miRNA from 11 species
AAAAAAGACAUUUGACGCAUUUGCGCCGCUCGUCGGAAAGGCUGUGGUGUGUUGCCAUUUUACAAUUUCAUAUCACAGCCAUUCUAGAUGCGCGGAGCUGCCGGAAGACGCAGAGAAAUUGA